rnacentral:rRNA from 1 species
UUACGGGAGGCAGCAGUGGGGAAUUUUGGACAAUGGGCGCAAGCCUGAUCCAGCCAUGCCGCGUGCGGGAAGAAGGCCUUCGGGUUGUAAACCGCUUUUGUCGGGGAAGAAAUACUCUGGACUAAUACUCUGGGGUGAUGACGGUACCUGAAGAAUAAGCACCGGCUAACUACGUGCCAGCAGCCGCGGUAAUACGUAGGGUGCGAGCGUUAAUCGGAAUUACUGGGCGUAAAGCGUGCGCAGGCGGUUGUGUAAGACAGAUGUGAAAUCCCCGGGCUCAACCUGGGAAUGGCAUUUGUGACUGCACAGCUAGAGUACGGUAGAGGGGGAUGGAAUUCCGCGUGUAGCAGUGAAAUGCGUAGAUAUGCGGAGGAACACCGAUGGCGAAGGCAGUCCCCUGGACCUGUACUGACGCUCAUGCACGAAAGCGUGGGGAGCAAACAGGAUUAGAUACCCUUGUAGUCU